rnacentral:lncRNA from 1 species
UAGUUUAUCAUUUUGAAGCCAAAAUUAGUUUAAAACUAGGUCACAGAGAUCCUACAGAAUCUAACUUCAGAAUAUCUCUAAGAGGAACUCUUGCGCUUUGUGCAGCAUUCAUACAUCAAGUGAGUUUUUCAUAGUUCAUAAUUUUGUAGUCUUCUAGGAUCAUAUGCUCGCUUAGUGAAGUAUCAAGAGCUGCAAAAUACAUAACAAGAACUUUGGAUCAAUACCCUACAUUGCUAGGCCAAUUGGUAUUUCAUAAUUUUGAAGUCCAUUAAUUAUAGUAGCACUGGAACCACCAUGAAAUGUAAUUGACGUUUUACUGAUAAGCGUAUUUAUAAGAUAGGAUUAUGGCAUUCAUUGAUUUUGGAGAAUUUAACCAAGUAUCCUACUUUGCGGACAUAGUUGGUUUCAGUCUUUCAGAGUGGAGCUCUUCAGUAUUAGUAUUGUUUUGUCUUUAUUUUUCUUUUUGAUGUAUAUUAUCCUUCUUCUAUGUGUAAAGUCGUCAUUCACAUAGCUUUCAUUAAGGGUUUUCCUUUGAAAGUAAAAGGUUUGAAGAUAAAUUUAUUAAUAUAUCAAAUAAAAUCAUUUACCCUAGACCGUGAUGUUUUAUUCAAUUAUUGUGAUAAAUGUGAAUUGUGCUUCAUUAUCAUGUCAUGAUUUUUGUUUAUCAUUUUGAAGCCAAAAUUAGUUUAAAACUAGGUCACAGAGAUCCUACAGAAUCUAACUUCAGAAUAUCUCUAAGAGGAACUCUUGCGCUUUGUGCAGCAUUCAUACAUCAAGUGAGUUUUUCAUAGUUCAUAAUUUUGUAGUCUUCUAGGAUCAUAUGCUCGCUUAGUGAAGUAUCAAGAGCUGCAAAAUACAUAACAAGAACUUUGGAUCAAUACCCUACAU